rnacentral:rRNA from 1 species
GAGACAGCAGUCGCCGCGGUAAUACAGAGGGUGCGAGCGUUAAUCGGAUUUACUGGGCGUAAAGCGUGCGUAGGCGGCUUUUUAAGUCGGAUGUGAAAUCCCUGAGCUUAACUUAGGAAUUGCAUUCGAUACUGGGAAGCUAGAGUAUGGGAGAGGAUGGUAGAAUUCCAGGUGUAGCGGUGAAAUGCGUAGAGAUCUGGAGGAAUACCGAUGGCGAAGGCAGCCAUCUGGCCUAAUACUGACGCUGAGGUACGAAAGCAUGGGGAGCAAACAGGAUUAGAUACCCCAGUAGUCCCUGUCUCUUAUAC